rfam:Camelus ferus unplaced genomic scaffold scaffold764, whole genome shotgun sequence.
GAGGGUGGAGCUCAGUGGUAGAGCGUGUGCUUCACAGGCACGAGGUCCUGGGUUCAAGCCCCAGUACCUCCA